rnacentral:rRNA from 1 species
UUAGUUUACUAAUGAAGCGGUUAGUGGCGGACUGGUGAGUAACACGUAAGCAACCUGCCUAUUAGAGGGGAACAACAGUUAGAAAUGACUGCUAAUACCGCAUAUGCCAUAAGUAUCGCAUGAUACAAGUGGGAAAGGAGCAAUCCGCUAAUAGAUGGGCUUGCGUCUGAUUAGAUAGUUGGUGGGGUAACGGCCCACCAAGGCGACGAUCCAUAGCCGACCUGAGAGGGUGACCGGCCACAUUGGGACUGAGACACGGCCCAGACUCC